rnacentral:rRNA from 1 species
AGUGAACGCUGGCGGUAGGCCUAACACAUGCAAGUCGAACGGCAGCACAGGAGAGCUUGCUCUCUGGGUGGCGAGUGGUGGACGGGUGAGGAAUACAUCGGAAUCUACUCUGUCGUGGGGGAUAACGUAGGGAAACUUAAGCUAAUACCGCAUACGACCUACGGGUGAAAGCAGGGGACCUUCGGGCCUUGCGCGAUUGAAUGAGCCGAUGUCGGAUUAGCUAGUUGGCGGGGUAAAGGCCCACCAAGGCGACGAUCCGUAGCUGGUCUGAGAGGAUGAUCAGCCACACUGGAACUGAGACACGGUCCAGACUCCUACGGGAGGCAGCAGUGGGGAAUAUUGGACAAUGGGCGCAAGCCUGAUCCAGCCAUACCGCGUGGGUGAAGAAGGCCUUCGGGUUGUAAAGCCCUUUUGUUGGGAAAGAAAUCCAGCUGGCUAAUACCCGGUUGGGAUGACGGUACCCAAAGAAUAAGCACCGGCUAACUUCGUGCCAGCAGCCGCCGUAA